UCUCAGCUGACUGGCCUUCAGUCUACUCAGAACCACCUCUCAGCUGACUGGCCUUCAGUCUACUCAGAACCACCUCUCAGCUGACUGGUCUUCAGUCUACUCAGAACCCUGCCAUCAGCCUGUAGCUGAGCAAAGCCAUCUAGUGACAGCUUGUUUUCUGAUAAAAAACAGAGAUCUCGUGGAUACUCCACUGAAAGUGAAGAAGGAAAAGAGCAGAAAGUCUCCAUCUGAAGUUUGAAAUACGGUUUCUAGGGACUGACUGCCUCCUUUACACCAUGUGCACAGCUGCAUUCCUCACAGUAGCCAAAGAGUGGAAGCAACCUAAAUGCCCACCGACAGAUAACUUGAUAAAGAAAAUAUGAAGUAUAUACUCCAGGGAUUACUACUACUCUGCAAUCAAAAAGACUAUACCAUGUCCUUUGGGAAAAAAUGUAUGGAACUGGCGGAAAGGUGAUCCCCACCUCCACCUUGCUCUCAGGAGUGGAUACAGUUUUGGAAGUGGCAAGCUGUCAUGAACUCUCUAUGAAGGAAGUCCUGGAUGGUAUCUCAACACAGCAGAAAACAUAAUCUUCUGGGGAAAAGUAGGAAACAUUUGACAUAAUUUCUUUGUGCUGUUUAGCUUGACUCAGGUUUGCUUAGAUAUGAACAUAUGCAGAGAGGAGGAAGUUGGGAGGUCAAGGUUAACAGUACAAUGUGGAGAGAAAAAUCCAAAAAUGUGGACAUGUUGGUUUCAGCAACUGACUAGUUUAGAUAUCACUGUCUUGUCAGUGACGUUGAGGAGCCUCAACCUCAGAGCACUGGCCAGAUGCUGAUUUUUAAAAUACUUGAGAGGAAGCCAUUGGACCCUGUGAGCCAAGGAGACUAAGUGUAAGGGGAAGUGACUUAAGCUGUGACCUGUGUUGCUGUUCUGAUGAGCUUUCUACAUAAACCUGGCACUCAGAGCAAUAACAACAUGGUUGAUGUCAGUAAAUCCAGCGACAAUUUCAGUGACCUUGAUUUAAAGAGCAUGUUGCCAGUCUCUCAUAUAAAUUAUUAGCUUUUUAACCCUCUCCAGAAGGGAGGUGGCUUGCUGCCUGCCCACUACCAGUUAUUCUGUCAGAUUGAUGGAAAGGAGUGUGAGCAGAAAACAUUUACCUGUAUCUUUACAGUGUGUCCUGCAUUUUUUUUUUUUAUAAAGGGCUUCUUCUAGUCGCCAGUUAAUGGGC